GUAAUAUACAAUGCAAGCAUAAUAAUGUUAACUGAAAAUGCCUCUGCAGCACAUACUGUGACAUGUACUGAUCUUAAAACAGUCAACUCUCCUUAUCUGUCGGUUCUGCAUUAGCGGAUUCAACCAACCAAUGAUCAAAAAUAUUUUUGAAAAUAUUUUAGAAAAAGAAAGAAUGGUAGCAUAUAUACCCAACAUGGCCAGACUUUAUUUUCUUGUUAUCAUUCCUUAAAUAAUACACUAUUAACAACUAUUUACAUAGCAUUUACAAUAUAUUAGGUAGUAAAGUAAUCCAGAGAUGAUUUAAAGUCUAUGGGAGGAUGUGUAUAGGCUACAUGCAAAUACUAUGCCAUUUUAUAUAAGUGACUUGAGCAUCUGUGGAUUUUGGUAUCUGAGGCGUGAAGGAGGGGCUGUCCUGAAACCAGUUCCCUAUGGAUACUGAAGGACAAUUAUUUAUGUCAUUUAAUCCUAUGAAUUAGGUACCAUUAUUGUCCCCAUAAUCAGAUGAACAGGUAAAGAAUGAUUAGGAAACUAAUUAUUUGGCAGAGCCAGAAUUCAAACCUAGGUAGUCUGAGUUCAUACGUGUAAUCUUAAUCACUUUAUAUAACCCUGUUAAAACACAUUUAAUAUUCUUCUCUCCAUGCAGGCAUAACGAGUAUUGCUAUUCUUUAUAGUAAUGAAUAAAACAGCAAGAGGCCAUUAAGACAAAGGGAUGCGAGUGUUGCUUAUGUAUCUAACAGUAUUGUGGGCCAGGUUGACAUGAAAAAACACCUUCUCUGUGAAAAUGAAGGAGUCUGUUUUCUGAAAGUUCAAUGUGUCGUUUUCCUUCAAUAGCUUCUGACAUCAUAUAAGAGGGACACUGAACCUAGCUUAAAACCUAUUAUUAAUUUUCUGCCAUUUAUUAAUCUAAAACAAAAAAAUACAGCUAAGAGAAAGAAGCUAGACACAAAAGACUACAUGCAAUAUGUUUCAAUUGUUAGGAAAUUCUAGAAAAGCCAAAACUAUAAUGUUAGAAUGGAGGUCAGUGGUCAGCAAGGUCAGGAAAUGGGAGGAAGACUUUGGCUGCAAAGGGGCACAAGAGGAAACUUUUUGGGGGUGAUGAAAGUAACGGGUUAGAAAACAGUGAGCUGCAAGCUGCCUGCCUGUUUUUGUAAAUAACAUUUCACUGGAACACAGUCAUGUACACUUGUUUAUAUAUCAUCUAUGGUUGCUUUCACCUCACAACAGUAGAGCUGAGCAAUUGGGACAGAGUCAGUCUGGCCUACCAGUCUAAAGUAGUUUAAGAAAAAAUUUGUUGAUCCUUUCUCUAAAUACUUAUGAUCUCAGUUCCAGCAUAGGAUGGCAGAUUCAAGAUCCGUAUCUGAGUGGAUUAUCUCCACAAACCCCCUAAAACUAUGGUAAAAGAUUUUUUUUAAUAUAGACAUAAAUCAGCAAAGACUAGGAGAACAAGGAAGGAAAAAAAUGACAACAUUUUGGAAGAGAGAGCAGAUAGAAGAGUGGUAACUAAUUUAGCACAUCUGACAAAGUCCAAUCUCAAGCUGGCAGUGGGAAAGCUGAGAACCAACUCCAUUUACACUGCAGAAUCCUCCAAAGCAUAGGGACAGGAUUCCAGGUAUCUCUGGGAUUGAAGGAGAGUGACAUGUACAUGCUAAAAUAAGGCUGUUUGAGAAAUAUUUUCCCAUCUUCCAUUCCACGUGCUUGGCAAAUGUCUUUGCACAUCCUGACAGGAGAGGUUUUGAAAUGGGGCUAUCAGAAACAGUUGGCAUCAGCUUCUCUGAUAUACAAUUGCAUCAUUUCUUUUUCUCUUUGGG
rnacentral:lncRNA from 1 species